AUCCCCACGGUUUAUAGGAUAAUCAGUUCACAGAAUCCCACUUUAUAGGAUAAUCAGUCACAGAAUCCCACGGUUAUAGGAUAAUCAGUCACAGAAUCCCACAGUUUAUAGGAUAAUCAGUCACAGAAUCCCAGUUUAUAGGAUAAUCAGUCACAGAAUCCCAGUUUAUAGGAUAAUCAGUCACAGAAUCCCAAAUCCAGGUUCUCAAGGACCCCCUAGUAUGCUGGUCUUAGUUCUGAAACUGUUUCAGUUAGUUAACUUACAAUUAUCUAUCAACUUAAUUUAAACAUACCUCAUCAAUUGAAUGUAGUUUCAUAAGUCCACUUUAAAUUUGAUAAAUAAGUUCCGUUUUGAAUUGUAUAGGAAAUCAGAAUAACCAGGGGCCCCUUGGGACCAGGAUAUGGAAAGAUGGGCUAAUACUGUAUAAUCUAGAUUGUAGACACUUCAUAGGCUAUUACAGAGUACGUUGCAGUCAGUUAUGGGUAUACUGUAUGUCUGUAAAGGUGUUUAGGUGCAGAAUGAAGAUAGAUAGGGAGGAUUGAUUGAUCGAUUGACACUUGGCUCAUUUAUCAGAUUGGAAAUCACGGUGUUUGAACAGGUUAUAUAUGUAUAUAACAUAAAAGCGGAAAACUAUCCACCUAAUAUAUCAUUUCAAAGAGGGACAAGCUUCAACUAUGGCAAGCCAAGAGGAACAAAUGACUAAGCCAGCAAAUGCAAUGUAACAACACUGAUCACCUCUUCUUAUGAAAAGUGUUGAAUUGAUUGUAGCCGUCGCCAUUUUGGUUCAAUGACAAUAAUGUUUUUUCUUAACAUGAAAUGUGUGGCUUCAUUCAACUUGUGUAAACCCAUCAACAAUUGUCCAUGGUUAAUGAGAUUUAUAUUGAUGGUCACGUUAACAAACAAUGUUGCACAUUAGUUUUUACCCCUUUUAAAUGCACCAGACUGUUACUAACACCCAGAGGAUGACGUCAUAGGCUGAGGUUAUAAACAGGGUGUAAUCAUAGAAAGAGAAUUUCUAGAAUUGACAUCUCCAUUCAAGUCAUGUUUAUUUCCCUUCUUGUAAUUAUACUUCUAUGGGUGUGAUGAUGUCAAUCAAAACACACUAGUCAUGAAGCUUCACAAUUAGGUUAUAAAGGUUCAUAAGAAGGUAAUAAACGUCAUACUGUGUUCAUGUUAUGAAUGGAUCGACGCAUGGCAUUCAAAAAAUGCAGUGUCUUAAAACAUUAUGAACAAUUUAGUGAUAUAGAAAUUUCAGAACCUCCAGAAGCUCUCUUAGGGACCAUGUAAAUGUUACAAUGAGCUAGUUUUGUAUUUAAAGUGGCCUCUUAUGAAGCAGUAUGCCUUAUGAACCUUCAUAGCACCCUUAUAAACAGCCAUAAAGGAUGAUGAAACUGUGUAAAAGAAAUAAGGCAUGAAAGGCUGUCAUAUAUUGAUGUCACAGCUAAGGGGGCCUCUUGUGCUUGCGUUAAUAUUCAGUUAUAUCAUGUUUUAUCACUGCAUCAUAAGGUGCUAUGAAUGUUUAUAUGGCAUUAUAAGACUUUGCAAGAGACCACUUCAGGUAGUUGUGUUACCAGCUUUUCCUUUGUUUGUUCAUCUGGAUGGUGAUUGUCCUCGUCGGUCUAUAAACCAGUCAAGUGUAGAGAAAAACAAAAAAACUUAAAGUGGAAGUUCAGUAUUUCACAACUUAACCAUGGAUUAGUUUCCCCACAGACUACUUUCAGGUUGAGGAACCAUCUAAAACACUCAGUAAAAUACUGAACUUCCCCUUUAAAAACAAAGAUCUUCUAUUUUUUCUCCCCCUUCCAACUUAGUUGACGUAUCCAUGGAAAUGACUAUUGAAUCAAGACUUCUAUUUUAUUUUAAGGACAAUUUUAAGCUACUACAACUAUUACUACUGCUAAAAUUGAGAUUCAUAGAGAACUAUACUUAAACGCUACCUGAUAAUUUAAUAAAUUCACAGAUAAAGUAAGACAAAGUAUAUUGUUAUUAAGGAAACCAAGAUACUGUAUAAGCAAUAUGUUAUUUUAGUCAAUAAAAUUGAACAAAAUCACAAUGAAAAAAAAAUGUAAAAGGUUUAAAAGCAUUGGAGAAUAUAUGUCGCUUCUUUAUUUUUUACUGCAUUUUAGAAAAUGUCAAUUUUUAAAAACAGUUAACAUACAAAA